rnacentral:lncRNA from 11 species
CCUUGGAAUACCUACAUCACUGACAGGCAGCAGUGCGUGCAUCCCAACCGAACUUUGAAAACUGUUACUGCACUGGCCGGGGCAGGUGGAUUGCGUAACGCGAGGGAGGAGGACAUCAGGCUUACUCAACCACAUCAGCCCACUUCGAGGAGCCCCUGGUGUUGCAGCAGUUUAAACCGCUGAGCUACUGAACUUACUGGUUGAAAGGUCGAUGGUUCAAAUCCGGAGAACAGGGUGAGCUCCUGCUGUUAGCCCCAGCUUCUGCCAACCUAGCAGUUCAAAAACAUGCAAAUGUGAGUAGAUCAAUAGGUACUGCUCCGGCGGGAAGGUAACGGUGCUCCAUGCAGUCAUGCCAGCCACAUGACCUUGGAGUUGUCUAUGGACAACGCCAGCUCUUCAGCUUAGAAAUGUGC